UUGUCAUAUUAUGUAUCUGCAAUGCUGGU
rnacentral:piRNA from 1 species